GAUCCACUAGCUCAGUUGGUAGAGCACCUGACUUUUAAUCAGGGUGUCCCGCGUUCGAGUCGCGGGUGGGUCACCA
rnacentral:tRNA from 1 species